rnacentral:rRNA from 1 species
GGCAACCAGAAAGAUGUGAAGAUUCCGCCAUGUUGGUGUGGAGAUGUUUGCAAGGUGAAGGAGUCCACCGACCGAAAUAAGUCAUGGACGGAAGGAAGGAGAUAUUUUGUUUGCCCCAAUUAUGCUUACGAUCGUGCGCUUCCGACUAAUGCCUAUGACCUUCCACCGGUAUGCUAG